GAUGAACGCUGGCGGCGUGCCUAAUACAUGCAAGUCGAGCGAACGGACGAGAAGCUUGCUUCUCUGAUGUUAGCGGCGGACGGGUGAGUAACACGUGGAUAACCUACCUAUAAGACUGGGAUAACUUCGGGAAACCGGAGCUAAUACCGGAUAAUAUUUUGAACCGCAUGGUUCAAAAGUGAAAGACGGUCUUGCUGUCACUUAUAGAUGGAUCCGCGCUGCAUUAGCUAGUUGGUAAGGUAACGGCUUACCAAGGCAACGAUGCAUAGCCGACCUGAGAGGGUGAUCGGCCACACUGGAACUGAGACACGGUCCAGACUCCUACGGGAGGCAGCAGUAGGGAAUCUUCCGCAAUGGGCGAAAGCCUGACGGAGCAACGCCGCGUGAGUGAUGAAGGUCUUCGGAUCGUAAAACUCUGUUAUUAGGGAAGAACAUAUGUGUAAGUAACUGUGCACAUCUUGACGGUACCUAAUCAGAAAGCCACGGCUAACUACGUGCCAGCAGCCGCGGUAAUACGUAGGUGGCAAGCGUUAUCCGGAAUUAUUGGGCGUAAAGCGCGCGUAGGCGGUUUUUUAAGUCUGAUGUGAAAGCCCACGGCUCAACCGUGGAGGGUCAUUGGAAACUGGAAAACUUGAGUGCAGAAGAGGAAAGUGGAAUUCCAUGUGUAGCGGUGAAAUGCGCAGAGAUAUGGAGGAACACCAGUGGCGAAGGCGACUUUCUGGUCUGUAACUGACGCUGAUGUGCGAAAGCGUGGGGAUCAAACAGGAUUAGAUACCCCGGUAGUCCACGCCGUAAUCGAUGAGUGCUAAGUGUUAGGGGGUUUCCGCCCCUUAGUGCUGCAGCUAACGCAUUAAGCACUCCGCCUGGGGAGUACGACCGCAAGGUUGAAACUCAAAGGAAUUGACGGGGACCCGCACAAGCGGUGGAGCAUGUGGUUUAAUUCGAAGCAACGCGAAGAACCUUACCAAAUCUUGACAUCCUUUGACAACUCUAGAGAUAGAGCCUUCCCCUUCGGGGGACAAAGUGACAGGUGGUGCAUGGUUGUCGUCAGCUCGUGUCGUGAGAUGUUGGGUUAAGUCCCGCAACGAGCGCAACCCUUAAGCUUAGUUGCCAUCAUUAAGUUGGGCACUCUAAGUUGACUGCCGGUGACAAACCGGAGGAAGGUGGGGAUGACGUCAAAUCAUCAUGCCCCUUAUGAUUUGGGCUACACACGUGCUACAAUGGACAAUACAAAGGGCAGCGAAACCGCGAGGUCAAGCAAAUCCCAUAAAGUUGUUCUCAGUUCGGAUUGUAGUCUGCAACUCGACUACAUGAAGCUGGAAUCGCUAGUAAUCGUAGAUCAGCAUGCUACGGUGAAUACGUUCCCGGGUCU
rnacentral:rRNA from 1 species